rnacentral:rRNA from 1 species
UACGGGGGGAGCAAGCGUUGUUCGGAUUUACUGGGCGUAAAGGGCGGGUAGGCGGCCACUGCAAGUCGGUUGUGAAAUCUCCGGGCUUAACUCGGAAAGGUCAAUCGAUACUGCAGGGCUAGAGUGCAGAAGGGGCAACUGAAAUUCUCGGUGUAGCGGUGAAAUGCGUAGAUAUCGAGAGGAACACCUGCGGCGAAGGCGGGUUGCUGGGCUGACACUGACGCUGAACUGCGAAAGCUAGGGGAGCGAACGGG